UGAAGAGAUGCGGAUUAACACUGAAAGCCCGGAGAGGCGGAGCGCGUCACGGCGCAUCGCCAGGCUAAAAGAGGAGCGUUCUGGCAAAUUUAACCCGAAUAAAUUACACCUUGAGGUGGAAGAGGGAUUUCUCCGUUGUUGGAAUAGCAUCUGCACUGGAACUUUUUGACAAAAGCAAACUGUCCAUCAUGGCUAUCACCAGUGGACAUGGAUCACUGUGGGGCCUGUGAUUAACAGAUAGCACCUCGUCUCCUCUGCUGGCAGGCCAUCAUUACGGAAAGCACUAGAAGAUAGGUGCUGUGGGCGAAGAGACCUUUAGGAAAAUGUCAGCGACAGUCAGAGCCCCAAAUUUCCUCUAUUCACUCUUUCCCAUGUGGUGCUAAACCCCUUAAUUACACAACCCAUUUCUCCUAUUGCCUAAUGUAUCUAAAUACAGUGUCUGAUUUCAGAGCAUGUGGAGAUUUUAUUUUAUCUUAUGUGGCUGUUAAAUAAAAAAAAUAAAAAAAUAAACAACCACAGCCGUAUAUUUCACCCAUUUCAGCAAAGAACAAAAAAACACCCAGCUCCCCUUUCCCAUUCCCUUUCACUGGAGCCAGCUUCUCUGUCUUAAUACUCUUAGUCCCUCAGUUGGCAUGUUUUCCAAGAACCCGCUGCAUUUUCAGAUUUGUAAAAUCCGUCAAAAUGCCUGUAAUGAAUAUUUCUACAGCAGUGAGUGUAUUUAAUGUGCUGUGUGACCAGCCCAAUAAGAAACCUGUACUGAUCUGGCACUAGGAACCAGAGUGUCAGUAGACAGAAGCCUCAGUCAGUGUAGAAAACAGUAUAAAACAGAUAAUUUUCAUUCAAACACAAACCUCUUUUAUCAAGAGAAGCUGAAAGGAAAACAUUUAU